rnacentral:rRNA from 1 species
UACGUAGGGAGCUAGCGUUGUUCGGAUUUACUGGGCGUAAAGCGCACGUAGGCGGCUCAGCAAGUCAGGGGUGAAAUCCCGGGGCUCAACCCCGGAACUGCCCUUGAAACUGCUAAGCUAGAAUCUUGGAGAGGCGAGUGGAAUUCCGAGUGUAGAGGUGAAAUUCGUAGAUAUUCGGAAGAACACCAGUGGCGAAGGCGACUCGCUGGACAAGUAUUGACGCUGAGGUGCGAAAGCGUGGGGAGCAAACAGG